rnacentral:rRNA from 1 species
UGGGGAAUUUUGGACAAUGGGCGCAAGCCUGAUCCAGCCAUGCCGCGUGCGGGAAGAAGGCCUUCGGGUUGUAAACCGCUUUUGUCAGGGAAGAAAUCUUCUGAGUUAAUACCUCGGGAGGAUGACGGUACCUGAAGAAUAAGCACCGGCUAACUACGUGCCAGCAGCCGCGGUAAUACGUAGGGGUGCAAGCGUUAAUCGGAAUUACUGGGCGUAAAGCGUGCGCAGGCGGUUUUGUAAGACAGAGGUGAAAUCCCCGGGCUCAACCUGGGAACUGCCUUUGUGACUGCAAGGCUUGAGUGCGGCAGAGGGGGAUGGAAUUCCGCGUGUAGCAGUGAAAAUGCGUAGAUAUGCGGAGGAACACCGAUGGCGAAGGCAAUCCCCUGGGCCUGCA